UACGGAGGGAGCUAGCGUUAUUCGGAAUUACUGGGCGUAAAGCGCACGUAGGCGGCUUUGUAAGUUAGAGGUGAAAGCCCGGAGCUCAACUCCGGAACUGCCUUUAAGACUGCAUCGCUUGAAUCCAGGAGAGGUGAGUGGAAUUCCGAGUGUAGAGGUGAAAUUCGUAGAUAUUCGGAGGAACACCUGUGGCGAAAGCGGCCACCUGGACUGCACCUGACGCUGAAACGCGAAAGCUAGGGGAGCGAACGGG
rnacentral:rRNA from 1 species